UGCGUAGGCGGAAAAUUAAGUCAGUGAUGAAAUCCUGCAGCUUAACUGUAGAACUGUUAUUGAUACUGAUUUUCUUGAAUAUAGUUGAGGUAGGCGGAAUGUGUAAUGUAGCGGUGAAAUGCUUAGAUAUUACACAGAACACCGAUUGCGAAGGCAGCUUACUAAGCUAUUAUUGACGCUGAGGCACGAAAGCGUGGGGAGCAAACAGGAUUAGAUACCCUGGUAGUCC
rnacentral:rRNA from 1 species